GACGAACGCUGGCGGCGUGCUUAACACAUGCAAGUCGAACGGAAAGGCCCUGCUUUUGUGGGGUGCUCGAGUGGCGAACGGGUGAGUAACACGUGAGUAACCUGCCCUUUACUUUGGGAUAACUUCAGGAAACUGGGGCUAAUACCGGAUAGGAGCUCCUGCUGCAUGGUGGGGGUUGGAAAGUUUCGGCGGUUGGGGAUGGACUCGCGGCUUAUCAGCUUGAUGGUGGGGUAGUGGCUUACCAAGGCUUUGACGGGUAGCCGGCCUGAGAGGGUGACCGGCCACAUUGGGACUGAGAUACGGCCCAGACUCCUACGGGAGGCAGCAGUGGGGAAUAUUGCACAAUGGGCGGAAGCCUGAUGCAGCAACGCCGCGUGCGGGAUGACGGCCUUCGGGUUGUAAACCGCUUUCGCCUGUGACGAAGCGUGAGUGACGGUAAUGGGUAAAGAAGCACCGGCUAACUACGUG
rnacentral:rRNA from 1 species